UGGGGAAUAUUGGACAAUGGGCGAAAGCCUGAUCCAGCCAUGCCGCGUGUGUGAAGAAGGUCUUCGGAUUGUAAAGCACUUUAAGUUGGGAGGAAGGGCAGUAAGCGAAUACCUUGCUGUUUUGACGUUACCGACAGAAUAAGCACCGGCUAACUCUGUGCCAGCAGCCGCGGUAAUACAGAGGGUGCAAGCGUUAAUCGGAAUUACUGGGCGUAAAGCGCGCGUAGGUGGUUCGUUAAGUUGAAUGUGAAAGCCCCGGGCUCAACCUGGGAAAUGCAUCCAAAACUGGCGAGCUAGAGUAGGGCAGAGGGUGGUGGAAUUUCCUGUGUAGCGGGGAAAUGCGUAGGUGUGGGAAGGAACACCAGUGGCGAAGGCGACCACCUGGGCUCAUACUGACACUGAGGUGCGAAAGCGUGGGGAGCAAACAGG
rnacentral:rRNA from 1 species